UGUAGUGGCUUGACUAAGGUCCCUUAUGUGUUGAAUUUGGGGUAUUAAAGCCAACACAGAGGGGCAGAGGUCGGCCUGCUGUUGACAUCCUCAUCCUCCCCGCGAGAGCGCGCGCACAGCUAAGGCCAAAGUGGAAGGGACCAUAUCAGGUGCUGUUGCCAUCGCAUGGGGGAGUAAAGACACGAUGGAUCCACGCACCACGUGUCGAAAUUGGGCUUGCAACCUGAUCCCUGACAACUCUGAAAAAGUGAAGGAGAUCUUAAGGAACAUGGAGAGGAUGAGGGAUGAAUUAAAGACCUCCAAAGGCACAGGAAGGUCUUUCAGAGAAUGGCUACAUGACAUGUUUGGUCCAACGGGUGCAACUGCUGUUCAAGUAUUGAUCCCUGUGUUGGUUGUAUUCAUCUUGAUCCUUUGUUUGUGUGCUGUGUUCAAAUACAUGAAACCCUUGAGGUCCAGGUGGAUGGGGACUGUAGUAGGAGGUACUUCUCAACAAAUGGUGAAGCACAUCUAUGUGUCUACUGACUAUACUGAGAAGUCUGAGCCUGACCAAUGCGAUGACCCAUGCAGCAUUGCUCAGAAGAACCCUCACAUCUGUGUGAUGGUGUGAAGGUCCUGCCUGAUAACAUCUGGAUCUCACCAUCUCUGCAUCAAUCUUUUCUCUUCAAAGCAGAGAAUACACAGCAUUUAUCUAAGCAGAUUUCAACUGCUGCUUCUGUGAAUUUGUUUUCUUCACUAUCUUAUAUCAUAGCUUUGCUAUUAAUCUCAUAUUUUGUAUUAUUUUGCUUUAAUCUUGACCAAUUUGUAACUUGUCAAGGUUUAGAAGUUUUCAGCCUACUCUGUAGUUCUAUGUUUAGGGACUUAGGUUGAUUUUUCAAUGAAAGAAAGAAAAUGUAAUUCAGCUGUCAAAGAAAUAGGUUUUCUCUGUAAAGUGUUAUCUUGUUCUGAAUCCUUUGCUCAGUGUUAUUAUAAAGUGUUAUGUUAA